ACGCUGGCGGCGUGCCUAAUACAUGCAAGUAGAACGCUGAAGGAGGAGCUUGCUUCUCUGGAUGAGUUGCGAACGGGUGAGUAACGCGUAGGUAACCUGCCUGGUAGCGGGGGAUAACUAUUGGAAACGAUAGCUAAUACCGCAUAAUAUUGAUUAUUGCAUGAUAGUCAAUUAAAAGGUGCAAUUGCAUCACUACCAGAUGGACCUGCGUUGUAUUAGCUAGUUGGUGAGGUAACGGCUCACCAAGGCAACGAUACAUAGCCGACCUGAGAGGGUGAUCGGCCACACUGGGACUGAGACACGGCCCAGACUCCUACGGGAGGCAGCAGUAGGGAAUCUUCGGCAAUGGACGGAAGUCUGACCGAGCAACGCCGCGUGAGUGAAGAAGGUUUUCGGAUCGUAAAGCUCUGUUGUAAGAGAAGAACGAGUGUGAGAGUGGAAAGUUCGCACUGUGACGGUAUCUUACCAGAAAGGGACGGCUAACUACGUGCCAGCAGCCGCGGUAAUACGUAGGUCCCGAGCGUUGUCCGGAUUUAUUGGGCGUAAAGCGAGCGCAGGCGGUUAGAUAAGUCUGAAGUUAAAGGCUGUGGCUUAACCAUAGUACGCUUUGGAAACUGUUUAACUUGAGUGCAAGAGGGGAGAGUGGAAUUCCAUGUGUAGCGGUGAAAUGCGUAGAUAUAUGGAGGAACACCGGUGGCGAAAGCGGCU
rnacentral:rRNA from 1 species